GGAGGCCCGAACCCGUGAGCCGUGCAAUACUCUGGGAUGAGCUGUGGUAAGAAGUGAAAAGCUAAUCGAGCUUGGUAAUAGCUGGUUCUCCCCGAAAUAGCUUUAGGGCUAGCGUCUUAUUAUUGUUUCCAGGGGUAGAGCACUGGAAGGAUUAUCUUGGGCUUUGCUCGGAUUUUCCUACCAAACUCCGAAUACUGGAAAUUUAAAUAAGGCAGUUAGACUGUGGGGGCUAAGCUCCAUAGUCAAAAGGGAAACAGCCCAGAUCUUCAUCUAAGGUCCCUAAAUCAAGCUAAGUGUUUUAAAGGAAGUGAAAUUCCUCUGAUAGCUAGGAGGUUAGCUUAGAAGCAGCUAUCCUUUGAAAAGUGCGUAAUAGCUUACUAGCUAAGGAAUUUUGCGCCAAAAAUUUACGGGGCUAAAGCUUGAUACCGAAGAUAAGAAGCCGUUGCUUCGCAACGGAAGCACCAAAUUACAAGCACCAAAUUACAAACAAUAUCCAAUGACCAAAAUUCUAAUGACCAAAAGUUUUGAAUUUAGAAUUUGGAAUUUAGAAUUUGUUUGUUAUUUGUAAUUUUGAAUUUGGGAUUUCCGCUGCGUAGCAGCGGUUGGUAGGGGAGCGUCCCUAACGCAACGAAGCCCACGACGUAAGUCGGGGUGGAGUAUUAGGGAGUGAGAAUGUUGGCAUGAGUAACCGCAAUCCCGUUGAGAGCACGGGACACCGAAAACCUGAGGUUUCCUUGGCAAUGGCGAUCAUCCAAGGGUUAGGCGGGCCUAAUCCGUCUACCGAAAGGUAGAUGAGAGAUGGACAGCCGGUUAAUAUUCCGGCCCCUCAGCAUCUUUUCGAAAAGGUGACGUAAUUUAGGAGACAAGCUGUAUUAUUGGAUUUACAGUUGAGUUCUGCUUUCGGGCAGGACGAACUUGUUGAAUAAGUUACCCAGAAAAGCCUAUAGAAUUAGAGAUGUUGGGUCCGUACCGCAAACCAACACAGGUAGGUUGGCAUAAGUGUGCUAAGGUGAACGAGUGAAAGCUCCUGAAGGAACUCGGCAAAAAAGCAGGCGUAACUUCGGAAUAUGCCUUGCCCCGCCUAUGGCGGGGCCGCAGCUAAAGUACCCUGGCGACUGUUUAUCAAAAACACAAAUCCCUGCUAAACUCGUAAGAGGAUGUAUAGGGGUUGAGGCCUGACCAGUGCUGGAACGUUAACAGCGGCGGUCCUUUUCUAUAUUUUAUAGGAUUGGGCUGACUGCUCGAAGCGCCAGUGAACGUCGGCGAUAACUAUAAUCGUCCAAAGGUAGCGUAAUCUCUUGCCAGGUAAGAAAAUUGCCUGUCUAAGAAGUGAUUCUUAGAAAAAAUUCGGCUAAUAACGAUGAAACCCAAAUUGUUCUAUGGUAUAAUAGAAUAAUGGGUAAUAUCGUGGGAAGUCUUCGUGACCCCGUAACGACUUUUUGCCCAAAAGGCAAAGGAUGGUGGUUUUACCCAUCAUAAUAUGCCGACGCUUGUUAAAAUGAAUUUAGAAUCGUAUAUCAGUGGAUAUGUAGAUGGGGAGGGAUGUUUUUGUAUCUCGAUCCAUCCACGCAAAAAGAAUAAGAUUGGCUGGGAAGCAGUAGCAAGUUUUUCAGUUGCUCAGAAUGAGAAUAGAGCAGAAGUGUUAAGGUUAAUUAAAGAUUAUUUUAAUUGUGGAUUUAUCAGAAGGAAUAUUGGCGAUAAGACAUUAAAAUACGAAACAAGAAAUCUUAAUAGUUUACUGACAAAAAUUAUCCCUCAUUUUGAGAAAUGUCCCUUGCAAUCUGGCAAACAAAAAGAUUUCGAAAUCUUUAAAAAAGUUUGUCAAAAGAUGAGUAGGGGAGAACAUUUAACAGAAAAAGGAAUGAUUAAAAUCAUGAAUUUAGUUUCUAAAAUGAAUCUUUCUGGAAAACGACGUUACAAUAAAGCAAUAAUUGUAGAUUCUUUUAACAAGAUGAAGAUAUAGUCUGUGCCAUUAGUAAUAAUGGAAAAACAUGAAGUUCUGGCCCGCAUGAAAGGCCUAACGACUGGGGAACUGUCUCCAGGAGCAGCUCGGUGAAAAUGCAGUACCGGUAAAGAUGCCGGUUACCUGCGGCUAGACGGAAAGACCCCGGGAGCUUUACUGUAGUUAGAUAUUGGGUUUUGGUUUUGGAUGCGUAGCGUAGAAGGUAGACUUUGAAGCUUUGUUUUCGGACGAAGUGGAGUCAACAAUGAAACACCUUUCUUUCAAAAUCUUAAUUCUAACCUCCGCCUUAGGCGGAGAUACAGUGUUUAACAGACAGUUUAAGUGGGGCACUUGCCUCCUAAAAGGUAAUGGAGGCGUUUAAAGGUCAGCUAGCUCCGGAUGGAAAUCGGAGUUGUCGGACAAAGCCAAAAGCUGGCUUUACUGCAAGGCGGAUAUGCUGCGCAGUUAGGAAACUAGAACUUAGUGAACCGACGGAUUUUAAUAGAAAAUCCGAAGAUUAUCAGCUAAAAGUUACCCCGGGGAUAACAGCUUAGUAGGGCCCGCGAGUCCAUAUCAACGGCCCUGUUCGAGACCUCGAUGUCGGCUUAAUGUAUAAAAUUGGGCCGCUUUCCAAGUAAUUGGAAUGACAAAAUGCAGCUAAUAACGGUGGACUCCAUUAGUUUUAAUUGU
rnacentral:rRNA from 1 species